rnacentral:rRNA from 1 species
AGUGAACGCUGGCGGCAGGCCUAACACAUGCAAGUCGAACGGCAGCACAGUAAGAGCUUGCUCUUACGGGUGGCGAGUGGCGGACGGGUGAGGAAUACACCGGAAUCUACUUUUUCGUGGGGGAAAACGUAGGGAAACUUACGCUAAUACCGCAUACUACCUACGGGUGAAUGCAGGGGAUCUUCGCACCUUGCGCGACUGAAUGAGCCGAUGUCGGAUUAGCUAGUUGGCGGGGUAAAGGCCCACCAAGGCGACGAUCCGUAGCUGGUCUGAGAGGAUGAUCGGCCACACUGGAACGGAGACACGGUCCAGACUCCUACGGGAGGCAGCAGUGGGGAAUAUUGGACAAUGGGCGCAAGCCUGAUCCAGCCAUACCGCGUGGGUGAAGAAGGCCUUCGGGUUGUAAAGCCCUUUUGUUGGGAAAGAAAAGCAGCAGGUUAAUACCCCGAUGUUCUGACGGUACCCAAAGAAUAAGCACCGGCUAACUUCGUG